rnacentral:rRNA from 1 species
GACAGCAGCCGCCGCGGUAAUACGUAGGUGGCAAGCGUUGUCCGGAAUUAUUGGGCGUAAAGGGCUCGCAGGCGGUUUCUUAAGUCUGAUGUGAAAGCCCCCGGCUCAACCGGGGAGGGUCAUUGGAAACUGGGAAACUUGAGUGCAGAAGAGGAGAGUGGAAUUCCACGUGUAGCGGUGAAAUGCGUAGAGAUGUGGAGGAACACCAGUGGCGAAGGCGACUCUCUGGUCUGUAACUGACGCUGAGGAGCGAAAGCGUGGGGAGCGAACAGGAUUAGAUACCCGCGUAGUCCCUGUCUCUUAUAC